AUUGAACGCUGGCGGCAGGCCUUACACAUGCAAGUCGAACGAGUGGCGGACGGGUGAGUAAUGUCUGGGAAACUGCCCGAUGGAGGGGGAUAACUACUGGAAACGGUAGCUAAUACCGCAUACCAUCAGAUCUGCUCAGCUGGGAUUUGCUUGUUGGUGGGUGAACGGCUCACCAAGUCGACGAUCCCUAGCUGGUCUGAGAGGAUGACCAGCCACACUGGAACUGAGACGCGGUCCAGACUCCUGCGGGAGGCAGCAGUGGGGCAUAUUGCACAAUGGGCGCAAGCCUGAUGCAUCCCUGCCGCGGGUAUGAAGAAGGCCUUCGGGUUGUAGAGUGCUUUCAGCGGGGAGGCGUUACCCGCAGAAGAAGCACCGUCUAACUCCGGGCCAGCCGCCGCGGUAAUAC
rnacentral:rRNA from 1 species